AUGAGCCAACAAUGUGAUGUGGCUGCUAAAAAAGCCAAUGGGAUUUUGGCCUGCAUCAAUAGGGGAAUAGCAUCUAGAUCCAGGGAAGUUAUGCUCCCCCUCUAUUCUGCCUUGGUCAGACCACACCUGGAAUACUGUGUCCAAUUUUGGGCACCACAGUUGAAGGGAGAUGUUGACAAGCUGGAAAGCGUCCAGAAGAGAAGGCUGAGAGGAGACAUGAUAGCCAUGUACAAAUACGUGAAGGGAAGUCAUAGGGAGGAGGGAGCAAGCUUGUUUUCUGCUGCCCUGCAGACUAGGACACGGAACAAUGGCUUCAAACUACAGGAAAGGAGAUUCCACCUGAACAUCAGGAAGAACUUCCUCACUGUGAGAGCUGUUCGACAGUGGAACUCUCUCCCCGGGGCCGUGGUAGAGGCUCCUUCUUUGGAGGCUUUUAAGCAGAGGCUGGAUGGCCAUCUGUCGGGGGUGCUUUGAAUGAGAUUUCCUGCUUCUUAGCAGGGGGUUGGACUGGAUGGCCCAUGUGGUCUCUUCCAACUCUACUAUUCUACAAGAUUUCUGAUGUGAUAUCAUUUUAAGCAAUUGUCUACCCUAGCAUCCAAAUUAAAAUGCAUUUUUGGCCUUUAGCAAUUCAAGAAAUGCCCCAACACUAGUUUUGGCAGGUCAAAACCACAUAUUUGAUGACAAUCCAUAUAUAGUCAGCCUUUCAUAUUCCCAAAUUCAUAAAAUCAUAAAGCUAACAACAGGUAUUUCCAAUAAAUAGCAUUAGAAAAUGCAUACCCAGCCAAUGCUGGGUAUAUAUGCUAGUAUGAAAUAAAUGUGUAUGUUAAACGAUCACAACAUGUCAUUUAAAACAUCAUUCUUUUUAUUUAAGCAAUUUCUGAUGUUGCCCGAUGUUCAUCAGAAGAACUGUUUUGGAUUUUACAAAGCACAUGUGAUGAUGUAAAUAAAUACCAAUUUAUCAUUAAAUCUCUGAUUACAGAAUAGGUAUUCUUGAUUUGUUGCCCUGUUUCACAUGGUUAGGAAGGGGGUACAGGUGGUAAACACCCCCAAAAGUUGCCCUUAGGUGCCAGGUGUAAACUUAGUAGAUUAUAUAUCCAGAUAUAUUGAACUAUAAUAAGUAUGGUGGGGUGAUGUAGGCCAAUACUUCUGGAGGUCGUCCUCUUCGACACAACAUGUUUCUUGUUUGCUUGGGAAAAUUUUGUAUCUGUGUACAAAUAUGGAACUGAAUGACCUAAAUGAGUUUACAUAAAUCAGCUCUCUCUCUCUCUCUCUUUCAAAGUAAAAGCCAACUUGUUUUUGAACUGAAGAGCAACUAUUUCCCAUCUCCUCUUCUCAAAAUCCUGCCUUAUUUUACCAGAUAUACAGAAUGUUUUUCCCUAAAGGACUAAAACUGUAGAGAGGCACUCAGGAUGAAAAGCCAGUCUUCCUCAGGGACCAUGUAGCUGUGCAGAGUAUUUGAAUUACUGGGCAGCUGAUCCAGAGGGUCUUACUUCAACUAUUAAAUGGCUUUAGCAUGAACUUUCAUUCCAAGGGGUCUAACAUGCAAAUAAAAAUGCCAUUUGUAUUUGGAGUGCUGGUUGUAAUUUUGUUUCAUGAUGCAGUAUAACCUCCAUAUCUGUGGAACCAUUACCUAUAAUUUUACCUAUCCACAGAAAACAAAUAUUUUCUCUGUAGGCAUGUUCUAGGUCCUUCAGGCAAUUCUAUGGUAUGCUUCAAAUUCCUAAAGAGAAUACCUCUCUAAGAUUUUUUCUAGGUCCUUGAGGGCACCUAUAUGGUAACCUCUGGUGGGUUUGUUAUUAUCUACACUUUCCUGUUUCCACAUUAUGUUAAGGAACGUAUCUCCAAUGGAUAUGGGGGUUGUACUGUAAAGUGUAUGCCGGGUUCCUUUUUUGAUGCGAAAGACUCAAAAUAAUAGAAUAGUUUUAUUGUCAUUGUGCUAAAGCACAAUGGAAUUAAAUGCCUUCCCCAGCACACAUCACAAAAGCAACACACCCAUCCCUCCACACCUCAACGACCACCACAGAGCCCCCAGUAUCACAUCAAUGCAAAACCAUGGAGUCCAACAUAACCACAGCUCUAAGAUAAAAACUAUCUCUAAGUUUGUCCUUUUCUUUGUCACCCUGCCUGUACCAUCUGCCAGAUGACAAUAAUAAUAAAAAAGAAUAUGCCGGGUGAGAUGGAUCCCCAAGAAUGUUCUGAGCUUUCUUAAGGCUGCAGGAUCUAUAAAAUUCUUCCAAAGAGGGGAGAAUGCAACCAAUGAUUUGCUGUGCAGAAGUGGUUACCCUUUGGAGCGCCUUCCUGUCUGUCACGGUGAGUUACCAAACCAUGCGCAGAUACAGUAGGUUAGGACACUCUCUAUAGCACAGAGUUGGAAAGUCACCAGCAGUUUUUCAUUCCUUAGGAGUUUCGCUUAGUACAGUCUGUGAUGGGCCCUCUUAAUCAGUGCUGUUGUAUGGGUGAACCAGGUCAGACCCUCCUUCACAGUGACACCCAGGAACUUAAAACUGGCCACCUGUUCCACUUGGUCUCCAUUUAUGACCAAGGGAUGAAUUAUUGAUCUGUUCAUUCUGUAGUCCCCUAUGAGCUCCUUGGUUUUAUUGAUGUUAAGAACCAGAUUAUUGUCCCUGCACCACAAGAGCAGCCGAUCCACUCCAUCCUGAUAGGCAGACUCAUCCUCUUCAGAGAUAAGCCCCACCACCACAGUUGUAUCAUCUGUGAAUUUGGUAAUGAUAUUGCUAUGGUGGAUGAGGGUACAAUCAUAUGGGUACAAAGUGUAAAGCAGAGGACUCAACACACAGCCCUGUGGCACCCCAAUGUUGAGAGUGAGAGCUGACAAGGUAUGAUUACCUAAUCUAACCCUCUGGGAACAUCCAGACAAGAAGUCUAUAAUCCAUGAACAGAUUGAUAAUGACAAUCCAAGAUCCAUGAGUUUAGACACUAGUCUAUGUGAGAGCAUUGUGUUAAAAGCGGAACAAAAGUUUGCAAAAAGCAUCCUCAUAUAGUUCCCUUGUUGUUCCAGGUGGGUCAGAGCAGUGUGGAGCAUGAUGGCUAAGGUGUCCUCUCUCAUUCUGUUAGCUCUGUAUGCAAACUGAUGUUUACCAAUGUAUGUGGAAAGUGAGAAAUGAUAUUCCUUCAGACCAGUUUUUCAAGGCACGUCAUGAUGAUGGAAGUGAAUGGCACUGGUGUUUAGUCCUGAAAAUUACCAAUAGGGAACUUCUUUGGUUCCGAAACAAUGAUAGAGGCCUUCAAACAAGAUAAAAAGAAAAUCAAAAGGAGCUGAAAAAGUAGAUGCACCAAUGUUUCUUAAUCUGUGUUCUGUGAUUGUCAAAAGCUAGAUAGUCACCUGCUGUUUCUAUGAAUUUUAGAGCCAUGGAAGAUACUAAUAAAACAGCAUAGGAGUAGCUACUAUAACAGCAGUACAAUCAUAUCAACUCAGGGAGCCCAACUAGGGACAAUAUGUCUAAGAUUAGACAUUCAUUUAUGUGUUUACAUCACUAGCAGAAGCCCCUGCCAUACUGAAGUAGCAUGAUAAAAUGCCACAUUCUGAGCAUGUAUUGCCUUCUGAAGUAAACCACACAGAUUAAUCUUUGUUUUCCAAAUUUUUCCACAGUGGUGAAUACCUAAUGCACAACAGGAUGUGGACACA
rnacentral:lncRNA from 1 species